UCGCAGACUAAAGUAGGCGGUUCCUGUGUGUCUGAUUUAAAGUAUUUUCGCAGUCCGUUUUAUUUUUCUCCUCCCUGGUUUCGGCCGCGUGCGUAUUGCGCCGAGCAGUCAGAAUAAAACCGCAAAAUGCCAAAAGAGGAACACCCACGAGAACCGGAGCAGCUCCGGAAGUUGUUCAUUGGAGGCCUCAGCUUUGAGACAACAGACGACAGUCUGCGCUCUUAUUUUGAGCAAUGGGGAGCCUUAACUGACUGUGUGGUUAUGAGAGACCCGAACUCCAAGCGCUCCAGAGGCUUCGGUUUCGUCACAUACUCCUGUGUGGAAGAAGUCGAUGCUGCCAUGAAGGCCCGUCCUCACAAAGUCGACGGUCGUCUCGUAGAGCCCAAACGUGCCGUGUCUAGAGAGGAUUCCAACAAACCUUUUGCACACACCACAGUGAAAAAGAUCUUCGUGGGUGGUAUUAAGGAAGAUACGGAAGAGGGCCAUCUACGAGACUACUUCCAGGAAUUCGGAAAGAUCGAAGCGAUUGAAAUAAUGAUCGAUCAUAAGACUGGCAACAAAAGAGGCUUUGCGUUUGUUACGUUCGAUGACCAUGAUGCUGUGGAUCGUAUCGUUAUUCAAAAGUACCACACGAUAAACGGCCAUAAUUCGGAAGUGAGAAAGGCCCUCUCUAAACAAGAGAUGCAGAAUUCAUCAAUGAACAUGAGGGGACGUGGAGGUGGAAACUUUGGUGGUCGAUAUGGCAACAAUGACUUUGAAGGAGGCAGAGAUGGCUUCAGAGACGGAUUCAGAGGAGGCAGAGGUGGCAGUGGAGGAUAUGGAGGUGGAGAUGGCUACAACAAUGGAUUUGGAGGAGAUGGUGGCUAUGGUGGUGGCGGUCCUGGCUAUGGAGGCAGCCGUGGUGGAGGAUAUGGGGGCGGAGGACCAGGCUACGGUAACAACGGUGGCGGCGGAUACGGUGGUGGUGGAUAUGGCGGUGGUGGAUACGGUGGCGGUGGCAACAACUACGACAAUUAUAACAAUGGAGGUGGAAACUUUGGAGGUGGUAACUUCGGUGGAGGUGGUGGUGGUGGCAGCGGCGGCAACUACAAUGACUUUGGAAACUACAACAACCAGCAGUCAAAUUUUGGCCCCAUGAAAGGAAACUUUGGUGGAGGAGGUGGCAGGAAUAGUGGCCCAUAUGGUGGUGGAUAUGGGGGUAGCUCAGGAGGUGGUGGAGGCUAUGGUGGAGGCUCUGGUGGUAGACGAUAUUAAGUCCUUUAAAGGACUCGGUACUUAGGAGAGGAAACAGGAGAGCAAGUGGAAUGACAGGGCAGCGCCAGGUUUACUCCCUAGAUCUGCUCAGCCGUUCAGAAGAGAUGUACAGUAGUGCUGACACAAGAGGGACUUUUGUUUUUGUGAAUUUGAUGCAAAGCAUUUCUGAUCCUGAAAUGGAUGAUUUGCCUGUUUUCUUCAGGCACUGUGAAGGUAAAUAUGUCUUCCUCUUUUGUGAUGCUCGAUGUAAUUAAUUACAUUCUAAUGUUUUAUCUUUUCUGUUUCCUGUGUUUUAGGACCAAAGGGAUGAUGUGGGAAUGAACCUUUUUUACUGUGUAAUUAAAUGGUUUUUUUACUAUGUAAAUAAAGCUUUUAAAGUGGUGAAACACA